GGAAGGGGCUGGCGGAAACCUCGAGGGGUUCUACGCAUGGUGGAGCUUCGAUGAAAAGCCUUCCACGGAAAGGGUGUGUAGAGCACAAAGGAGAAAGAAUUCAAAGCCUUCUUCCAGCCGCGCGUGAGGAACUCAGCGGGCAGGGUAGGAACCGGAUGGAUGAGGACUGGAGGGCACAGCCAGUGAACGGAAGACGGAGUGGAAGCUAACUGGACCGGAAGUGGGAUCUUUUCAUGAUGGGAAGAUCAAAGCCUCCUGGAGAGCCCUUGCUACCCCAGACAGAAUUUCUCGUGGAACCUGAAAUUCGCUGACUGGAUGGAUGGCCUGCAAACUCCACCUGUCUCCACCCCUGACUCCCAGCGCUACAGUUACAGAGCUGUUUCCCGUGCCUUGUUUUGACAUAG